UACGUAGGGAGCAAGCGUUGUCCGGAAUCAUUGGGCGUAAAGCGCGCGUAGGUGGCCACAUAAGUCCGUUGUGAAAGUCAAAGGCUCAACCUUUGAAAGCCGAUGGAUACUGUGUGGCUAGAGUACGGAAGAGGCGAGUGGAAUUCCUGGUGUAGCGGUGGAAUGCGCAGAUAUCAGGAGGAACACCAAUAGCGAAGGCGGGUUGCUGGGCCGACACUGACGCUGAAGCGCGAAAGCCAGGGGAGCGAACGGG
rnacentral:rRNA from 1 species